rnacentral:rRNA from 1 species
AUCAACUUUCGAUGGUAGGAUAGAGGCCUACCAUGGUGGUAACGGGUAACGGGGUGUUAGGGCACGACACCGGAGAGGGAGCCUGAGAAACGGCUACCACAUCCAAGGAUGGCAGCAGGCGCGCAAAUUACCCAAUCCCGACACGGGGAGGUAGUGACAAUAAAUAACAAUACGGGGUUCUUUCGGAUUUCGUAAUUGGAAUGAGUACAAUUUAAAUCUCUUAACGAGGAACAAUUGGAGGGCAAGUCUGGUGCCAGCAGCCGCGGUAAUUCCAGCUCCAAUAGCGUAUAUUAAAGUUGCUGCAGUUAAAAAGCUCGUAGUUGAAUUUCGGGACCAAUAUGUCGGUCGUGCCUCGGUACGUACUGGCAUCGUUGGUUUCUCCCUUCUGACGAACCAUGAUGUCAUUCAUUUGGUGUCGUGGGGAAUCAGGACUGUUACUUUGAAAAAAUUAGAGUGUUUAAAGCAGGCUCACGCUUGAAUACAUUAGCAUGGAAUAAUGAAAUAGGACGUUUGAUUCUAUUUUGUUGGUUUCUAGGAUCGACGUAAUGAUUAAUAGGGAUAGUUGGGGACAUUAGUAUUCAAUUGUCAGAGGUGAAAUUCUUGGAUUUAUUGAAGACUAACUACUGCGAAAGCAUUUGCCAAGGAUGUUUUCAUUAAUCAAGAACGAAAGUUAGGGGAUCGAAGACGAUCAGAUACCGUCGUAGUCUUAACCAUAAACUAUGCCGACUAGGGAUCGGAUGAUGUUAAUUUUUUAAUGACUCAUUCGGCGCCUUACGGGAAACCAAAGUGUUUGGGUUC